rnacentral:lncRNA from 12 species
CGCCCGAACCGCAGCCUCCCAAACCCGAAAUCUAACGAAGCUGCAAUUAGCAGACGCUCCCCGCUCCUCCGGGCCGGGGCCGCUUCACCGCCGCAGCGCGGGCCGGGCCGGGGCGCUCUGCCCGGGAGCUGGUCGUUGGCCGAGGGGGGGGUUUCGUUUUCUUCCAAAUUUUUUCUCACCUGGGCAAACCCAAACCGUGUGAAGCCUUUCAAUUCCAAUGGAGUCGCAAGCCCGGAACGACCCCGUGGACCCCGCGGAAGCGCCUUGGACACUGCACCGCCACGGGAGCCACCCAAGGAGCGCACCAGCCGGCGCAGGGGCCGCGCCCCCAGCGCGCGGGGCAGGGGAGGCCGCGGCGUGCUCCGCGCUCGCAGGGACGCCGACCCGCGUGGGGAGAAUUCCCCCCCCCCGGGCCCCUCUGGAGACACUCCCCGGCUCCCGCCGGGCGGACCGAGGUGUGACUCGCAGGUGCCCACGCGUGCCCGGUCCGGCUGCUCUAGCGACCCAGGGUCGCUCGGGGGGGAGUGGGGAUCCGGCCCCUCGAAAUCGUUGCAGGAUGGACGGGAGUGUGGGCGCGCGUGGGAGCCCGCCCGUGGCACGGCGGGUGUGGGCACCGGGGUGCUCGGGCGAGGCGCGGGGCGGCUCACGCUGAGAGCAACAGCGGGAUUUCCCCGGGUGGGGGUGGCGGUGACCGAGCCGCGAGUCCCCCGCCGCGGCCCGCCCCGCCCGGGCGCCGACCACUCCCUCCCUCCCCGCUCGGCUCACGCCCCGGGGACCGUCGGGCCGGCGAGGGGGCGCCGCGGCCGGUCACCCCCGGCCUCGCCUGUCUGCCCCGGAGGCAUACAGAAUCGUCGUCCGCCCGCGAGUUCUAAAGUCGUUAGGUGCGAACUGAGGGCUGCAGCCCGGCCAGGCCCCUCCGCCUGUCUCCCUGCCUUGCGGGGGCGAGAGCGCGGGCGUGCGGGCGGCCGGAGGAGCGAGCGCUCAGGUUCGGGUGGGUCACGGUGUAGCGCAGUGACCUUGAGCCAGUGGCUUCCUAUCUGCAGGCUUCGGUUUUCUUGUUUGUGA